CCCGCUGAACUUAAGCAUAUCAAUAAGCGGAGGAAAAGAAACUAACAAGGAUUCCCCUAGUAACGGCGAGUGAAGAGGGAAGAGCUCAAAUUUUGAAUCCGGCACCUUUGGUGUCUGAGUUGUAAUCUAGAGAAGUGCUUUCUGUGGCGGACCGUGCACAAGUCUCCUGGAAUGGAGCGUCAUAGAGGGUGAGAAUCCCGUAUAUGGCACGGACUCCCGUUGCUCUGUGAAACACUCUCAACGAGUCGAGUUGUUUGGGAAUGCAGCUCCAAAUGGGUGGUAAAUGCCAUCUAAAGCUAAAUAUUGGCGAGAGACCGAUAGCGAACAAGUACCGUGAGGGAAAGAUGAAAAGCACUUUGGAAAGAGAGUUAAACAGUACGUGAAAUUGUUGAAAGGGGAACGCUUGAAGUCAGUCGCGUUAGUCGGGGAUCAGCCUUCCUUUUGGUUGGUGUACUUCCUGAUUGACGGGUCAGCAUCAGUUUUGACCGGUGGAUAAGAGCUUGAGGAAUGUGGCAUCUUCGGGUGUGUUAUAGCCUCUUGUUGUAUACAUCGGUUGGGACUGAGGAACUCAGCACGCCGCAAGGCCGGGUUUUUAACCACGUACGUGCUUAGGAUGCUGGCAUAAUGGCUUUAAUCGACCCGUCUUGAAACACGG
rnacentral:rRNA from 1 species